GAGAGCAUAGCUCAGUGGUAGAGCGCGUGCCCCGCACGCACAAGGUCCUGGGUUCAGUCCCCAGUACCUCCA
rnacentral:tRNA from 1 species